GCCGCGAUAGCUCAGUUGGGAGAGCGUUAGCCUCAAGACCUAAAGGUCCCUGGUUCAAUCCCGUUUCACGGCA
rnacentral:tRNA from 1 species